UUAGUUGCCAGCAUUCAGUUGGGCACUCUAAGGUGACUGCCGGCUAAAAGUCGGAGGAAGGUGGGGAUGACGUCAAAUCAUCAUGCCCCUUAUGACCUGGGCUACACACGUGCUACAAUGGGCGGUACAAAGGGUCGCGAACCCGCGAGGGGGAGCCAAUCCCAAAAAGCCGCUCUCAGUUCGGAUUGCAGGCUGCAACUCGCCUGCAUGAAGCCGGAAUCGCUAGUAAUCGCGGAUCAGCAUGCCGCGGUGAAUACGUUCCCGGGCCUU
rnacentral:rRNA from 1 species